UCCCAUAUGGUGUAGUGGUUAGCAUAAUGCUCUCUCAUCAAUGAGAGUGCAGCAUAGACCCUGGUUCGAUUCCUGGUAUGGGAG
rnacentral:tRNA from 1 species